UACAGAGGUCUCAAGCGUUGUUCGGAUUCAUUGGGCGUAAAGGGUGCGUAGGCGGCGCGGUAAGUCGGGUGUGAAAUUUCGAGGCUUAACUUCGAAACUGCAUUCGAUACUGCCGUGCUUGAGGACUGGAGAGGAGACUGGAAUUUACGGUGUAGCGGUGAAAUGCGUAGAUAUCAGGAGGAACACCGAUGGCGAAGGCAGCCUCCUGGGCCAACACUGACGCUCAUGCACGAAAGCGUGGGGAGCAAACAGG
rnacentral:rRNA from 1 species